rnacentral:rRNA from 1 species
UACGUAGGGUGCGAGCGUUAAUCGGAAUUACUGGGCGUAAAGCGUGCGCAGGCGGCGCGUUAAGACAGGUGUGAAAGCCCCGAGCUUAACUUGGGAAUUGCGCUUGUGACUGGCGUGCUGGAGUGUGGCAGAGGGAGGUGGAAUUCCACGUGUAGCGGUGAAAUGCGUAGAGAUGUGGAGGAACACCGAUGGCGAAGGCAAUCCCCUGGACCUGUACUGACGCUCAUGCACGAAAGCGUGGGGAGCAAACGAGG